UGGAAAUGUGCUGCAUGACAGAGAUACUGCUGCUGGGAAUGGUAAAUUGGGGGCGCAGACAGGGUGUUAGUGACUUCUAAUGGCAUUUGUUCUAGCUUCUGAAUCUAGAAAUGCAUUUUCUUUUCCUUAACAUAUGCACAAACUCAGUGUAUGCCUCCAAACCCUGCAGUAUAGGGGUCCCAGACUCGUAUAUGCAUUUGCUGGCUGCCCUAACCCUAAAAGCACUCUAAAAUAAUCUGCUGGUUGAAAGAAGAGUCAGGGCAUACACUGUAGCAUGCCAGAACAUGUAUAAGAAGCUGCUUUCAGCUCUAAUGAUGAAUAGCACUCACCAGCCAUAUUGGCAUAGAAGUUUUAUUUAGUAGUGUAUUGUCAUUGUGCAGAUAAGUACUACACUCUUCUCAGCUGGUUGGCUUUCUGCUAGGCCAAGCUGCUGCUGGCACUGAGCCUCACCAUUUGAGCUACAGAGGUGAACUCACAAAGUUCAAUAUCUCACUACUGAAUUCCUCUCACCUGAAGUGAUGUGCUCAUGUGUGGCUUGUUCAGAGCCUGUAGCUGCUGGAGGCCCUGAGAUCAAAAGACCCUCCCCCCCCACUUUCAGGGAGCCAGGACAGAGCAAACACUCUCCUUAUCUUCCCUAUCCCCACACUGCUUGCAUCUAGGUCCCUAUGGUGCUAGGAGGCAGAAACAGUUCCCUUCUGUCCAACCAAAAAGUUUUCUUUUGUUGUUUUUUGGGGGGUUUUUUACAAUCCAACCAAAAACUUGGAUGGUUGGAAUGAUUGGCCAGGUGUGGUGCUUAAAAGCCUGGCUACAAGAUUAAACAUUAUCACCUGGUUCUUCAGCAGCAGAGCAGCUGGUUGGCCACAAUUUGAGCUUCCUCCAGCCAGGGCAAGCUGCUGUGUGGUUUGCUCAGUAUUGCUUUCAUUCACUGACCUGGGGAGGAAGGGCAGACGUUAAGAACAACAGGUCUCUUGGAGAGGAAAUUGUCUGCUGGCCAGCAGGACUGAGAUUUCACCAAGUUAAAUCCACUCUAUAGCCCAGAAAGAAAAGGAAACAUACUUCAUUAGUCUUUCUGAAGUAGCAAAACCUGAACAAGAUCUCUCCAGUUCCAGUUCCAGAUCAGAUUGGUGGGAGCAGAAGACUUUUUUCUCCCGUGGCUGGUUCAGAUGCAGGUACGGUCCAGUCCUCCAAGCUCUGUCUACCUGAGAGCUGCGGUUCCAUAUACAGGGAGUUAUGUCUGGAUCAGACACAGUGUAUCUGCUAAAUUCCACCUCCCAUCCCAGAUCCUCAUGUGAUGCAAGCCAUUUAUUUCAACAACGCUUGGCUGAUAUAUACCAAGAAGCAAACCUCAGCUGGUGCAAAUUAUCUGUAAUGUAGCUAUGACAGUUUAUAUCAACUGAAAAUUUGCUUCCAAAUGAAGCCAAAGUGUUUCGGAUGAGUGUGGAUGAACUUUGAAUAAGACUCAUCAGGAUGUUUACCUAAAAUCAUCCCAGGAGGGACACUACUGAAAGUAAUGAAAGAAGCCAUUACUGUAAAGCAGUCUCAUACAACAUAUUAAAAAAGAUAGUUCUGAAAUGAAAAAGGGACUAUUUUGAGGGCGAAGAUAUUUACAGAUGGAAGAUGUCUAUUUAAUCCAUCCCCUAUCUUUUUGCCAGGACAUUCUGCAUCUCAACAGCUCCCUGACCUGAGAAGGUGAUUAAUGGGCUGAGAAAGCAAGAAGCUAUGUGUUAGACGGAGAUAUCGGGAAUCAAAAAUUGAAGGUUGUCAAUCAUCUGGCUGGAGAGGACUGUGCACUGAAUCUUGCAGUACGUGCUCAAAGAAUAUCUCUACCCUGGUGUAUGGGCAUAAUCUGGUUAACAGCAGAAGGACAAAGUUGUCAUGCAGUUAGGAACAUCCAGUGCUUGCUCCUCUGAAGUCCUUCCCUGCUCUUUUGCAACAGAACUUCACAACCCCACUGCCUAGGGCCCCUGCAUGGCUUUGGAGAAACAGCAAUUUUUCAGCUGCUUCCUUGCUUCGCUGACUUGGAAAAAGGAUGUCUUCAGAGGCCACAAAUGCUACAAAGCUGACAUCAGAGCCUGAGUCACAGCCAGGAGAAUUGAAUUUUCCAUUUAUGGAUGAGGAAACUUCAUCUAACCUUGAAUUACAUAGCUGGGAUUUAAUGAAAAAAAGAAGGUGGAACCGUCUCUCCGGGUUGCCUACAGAAGGAACAAAACCACAAGAUUUCUCAUCGUUCCUUUGAAUGCUUGUCCACACCCUUCGUCAGUGUUUUACAAUUUGAAAGAGAAGCACCCAGAGAUAUGCUUGAAAACGGGUUCACGCACUAUGUUUCAUAACAUUUUUACACAUGGAUGAGCCCAAUUAGGGGUGAAAAUAAGCCUUUGAAGAAGCAGUUUUGAAUCUUGAAGUUCCAAAUCACUACUCUAUAUAUGUAUGUGUGUAUAUAUAUAUGUAUGUGUGUGUGUAUAUAUAUAUGUAUGUGUGUGUGUAUAUAUAUAUGUAUGUGUGUGUGUAUAUAUAUAAUUGAAAAUGAAAUGAUAUAUUUAGAAUUGAAAAUGAAACUUCCCCAGUGUUUUCAAGAGUAUUUCUGAGAUCCAAUAGUAGUUUUCUGUCUAGAUACUAUCUACAGUAGUAGAUACUGUCUAGAAUAUAGUAGCAUAGUGGAUCAACUUAGAAACUGAACUAAAAAUUUUAAUGCACUGAUAGCUUCUAUAGCAUACCAACAUCUCCGUGGACUUUAUUAUUCAGUGAUUUUUUUCGUUUAUGGUUUAUAUCUGUUGCUUUACAUAAGAACAUUCGAAUUGCCAUACCGUGUCAACCCAAAAGUCUGGUGUAACCCAGUAUCCCAUCUUUGACACUGGCAUGAAGCUCUCUGUGGAAAAACCUUCCAGUCUCUAUGACCCAGAGACCUGCCUGCUUCAUACUUUAGUCCUACUGGAAAAUCCACUGCCUUCCAUAAGGCCCACAAAUGUAACAAAGAAACAAACGAGCAACAGAAGGGAAAUAAUUUAUCUGAAACUGGCUCUUUCCAUUAGGUCUCCCAGGUAUAUCCUGUCCUCUCCAGUAUGACCAUCUCAUAGAUCACAAACCCUUUCAAGCAGGAACUGAUUUGGCAUUUGUGUCUUGUGCAAUAAGCACACUGUCAGAGCUAAAAUAAAAAUAACGCCAGUUCCUUCUCAUGCCCUAUGUUAUGCAUCUGAAACGCCUAAAAAAAAAAAAAAGAAAAAGAAAGUAAUUGAAAGGUAUUUUUUUCCUAUUGUCUCUACUACCAUAGCAAAGCCUGACUUUUGUCAUUAAAGGCAUCUUCUCUAUCUUUAUGUCGUUGUGUGGAGCAGUGCUGUUGGGGCUGUAUCAGUCUUGGCUCUUGAUGGAUUUGGUGACAAUGAUAUACCACCCCAGGUAGGUGUUCUAAAAAGGCAGGAAAAGUCUAUCUCCUAAGUGAAUCGUCUAAGUUACUUUUAGGCAGAGAAGGAAUAUAUAGGAGAAUAUUUUUCAACAUUAGGGGGGAAAAAAUUCCAUGUAAAACUAAGGACUCAGUAAAACUGGAAACUUGGCGGUACUUGUUAAUCCGAUAGGAACGUGAAUAAUAUUUUCAUCCGCAGAAUGUGUUACUAAUAACAUCUUAUACAUGUUAUUCAUAAUCUGAAUCAUUCCUUUUUGAGUAAUCUUUCCUUACGAUGUCUUUAAUUGAUUGUUUUGUCCACUGUAUUUUAUAAUGCAUGACUAGCAGCACAGCUGGAUAAAAGAUAGGAAACUUGGGAAUAAAGUGAAGAAAAAGUACCUAGCAGAGUAUUUUAAUAUUGUCGAACCAAAUCAUGUUGAACCAGCUGCCAUUAGAGUGUUUGCUGUAAGGAUAAUUUCCAGGUAUAAUUACUUGAUUCUACUGCUUAUCUUGCUGUUCUGUGUGACCAUCAUGCUACAUUUAAAAUAAAAGGCUUAAUUCUGUCCAA